rnacentral:lncRNA from 1 species
CGAAUGGGUUGGACCUGUAUUGCUGUAUUCUCUGGCAGCAUCCUGCACUGAUCGGGAUAUCAUUUAAUGUGUGACUAGGCUAGGGAAACUUUCAAGUGGAAUGACUGCCCAUGGCUGGUUGCCUUGUUGUACGAUAAGCAUAGGUGUUGGCGACAGAUCUCAAGUUCCUUUGUAUAAUUUACAGCCAACAGUGAGAAAUCUAAGACAGUUUUGCAGGGAUACUCUUGUGUAGCUUGGUGAAAGGUAAAACUCACUGGUGUAACAACUUUAUUGUUCCUUCUUAUGUAUUUUUCAAAGUCUCAUAAGUAAUUGCUUUUUCAAUAUUAAUAACACAUUGAUAUCCAU